GUUGACCUCGGAUCAGGUAGGAAUACCCGCUGAACUUAAGCAUAUCAAUAAGCGGAGGAAAAGAAACCAACAGGGAUUGCCCCAGUAACGGCGAGUGAAGCGGCAACAGCUCAAAUUUGAAAUCUGGCCCUAGGCCCGAGUUGUAAUUUGCAGAGGAUGCUUUUGGCGCGGUGCCUUCCGAGUUCCCUGGAACGGGACGCCAUAGAGGGUGAGAGCCCCGUACGGUUGGACACCAAGUCUUUGUAAAGCUCCUUCGACGAGUCGAGUAGUUUGGGAAUGCUGCUCAAAAUGGGAGGUAUAUUUCUUCUAAAGCUAAAUAUUGGCCAGAGACCGAUAGCGCACAAGUAGAGUGAUCGAAAGAUGAAAAGCACUUUGAAAAGAGGGUUAAACAGCACGUGAAAUUGUUAAAAGGGAAGCGCUUGUGACCAGACUUGCGUCCGGUGAAUCACCCAGCUCUCGCGGCUGGGGCAUUUUGCCGGCUCAGGCCAGCAUCAGCUUGCCGUCGGGGACAAAAGCUUCGGGAACGUAGCUCUCUUCGGGGAGUGUUAUAGCCCGUUGCAUAAUACCCUUCGGUGGGCUGAGGUACGCGCUCCGCAAGGAUGCUGGCGUAAUGGUCAUCAGCGACCCGUCUUGAAACACGGACCAAGGAGUCAACCUUAUGUGCGAGUGUUUGGGUGUUAAACCCCUACGCGUAAUGAAAGUGAACGCAGGUGAGAGCUUCGGCGCAUCAUCGACCGAUCCUGAUGUUCUCGGAUGGAUUUGAGUAAGAGCAUAUAGGGUUGGACCCGAAAGAAGGUGAACUAUGCGUGUAUAGGGUGAAGCCAGAGGAAACUCUGGUGGAGGCUCGCAGCGGUUCUGACGUGCAAAUCGAUCGUCAAAUAUGCGCAUGGGGGCGAAAGACUAAUCGAACCUUCU
rnacentral:rRNA from 1 species